GCAAUGAUCGUAAGCUACUUGAAAAAUGAACAAAUCUGAAACAAGAACAAAUUACUAAAAUAUGCACACACCAUCAUGAUAUUUUAGUUGUAAGAUAUGAGAGUAAUCAGAAAACUUGCUGUAAUCCAUUUCUAAGUCACCAAAAGGUGUGUAGAGCAUCUUUACGUGUGAUUACAAUGCAUACUGUGUUAGAAGCAGAAACUAUAGGUUUAAAUCUUAUACCUGGAAAAAAACUGUGUCUAACCUGUCGAAGUAAAGUUAUAACAUGUUUAUCAAAAAGUAUAAGUGAAAAUAAAAAUGAUGAAGAUUUUGAUAUUGUUAAUGAAAGAUCUAUUCAAAAUAAAAAAGAAAGUGUAGAUACAUACUUUGCAUCUGCCGCAGUAUCUCCAAUUAAGGUCAAAGGAUUGCACAAGUGUAAUGAACUAAUAAAAAGAUUGACCUCUUGAUUAAAUCUUUAGAUUUGUACAACUAUUUAACAAUAAUUGUACUAAUCUAAAGAUAAAAGAAAAUAGACACAUUUAUAUAACAAAUAGUUCAAUAACAAAAAAUAGAAAACACAACUAUCUUCCCAUCUAUGUAGAAAAGAACCCAUAAACUAGUUUUAUCAUUUUAAAAUAUAGUCAUCAUAUUUUACAGGAGCUUUACAAGCUCUGGCAGAACGUCGUAAUACAUCAGUAAAUGGCUCAGUUACUGGCUCAUCUACCCUAACUCUGAUUUCCGAUGCAAUUUCAGGGAGGGGUCUUUAUUUACAUCAAGUACUUUCGCAGUUACAUUCUCACUAGACUCAUUGAUACUAUUCUCAUUGAUAACAUUAAACUUUUCUCUUGGGGCAGGAUACGGUGCAAGAUCUUGAAGUGAAACAGUUGACUCUCGUCCAUCAGGGUAACAAAUAUUAGCAUAUAUUGGAUUUACAUCCACUAAUUCAACCUUAUCCACGAGAUUAUCGUUUUUGUUUGUACGCACAAAACGUCUUGGAAAAAUUGGGCCAGGAGUUAACGAAAAGUAGCGAACAGAGUGAGUGGAGAGCGUCUGAUAGAACAAUAUCCCGAUUUCUAACAUCUAGGUUGUAGGUUUUUAGUGCCAAACAAAUAUUUUUCCAGAUCAAGCCAUUAUAUCUCUUAACUUGUCCAUUACUGAUAGGAUGAUAUGGGGUAGAAUUACUUGUUGCAAUUCUUUUCUGAGUAAGGUAAGAUUUUAAUUCAUUAGAUAUUGGGUUGAUGAGCCUCUGUCGGAAUGAAUGUACAUUGGAAAACCACAAAAGGAGAAUAUUUGAUCUAAACACUUCACAACAGUUGUUGAACUAAUAUCAGGACAUGGGAAAGCAAAUGGAUACCGAGAAUAUUCAUCAAUGACUAUAAACAGAUAUUUAUUUCUAGAAUUAGAUGGCAAUGGUCCUUUAAAAUCUAUACUUAGGUGAUCAAUUGGACGUAUUGACUUGAUUAACUCACAGACAUUUGAGGAUCGAUAAACUUUGGUUUUAAUUCUGAACAAAUCUGGCAGUUAGAACAAACUCUCUUGACCUCUUCUGUAGAAAAAGGUAAAAUUUUUAGAUUUAACAAAGUGAAGCAUACGAGUAACUCCUGGGUGACAUAGACAGCUAUGUAUACCACUUAGGUUUGUUUGAGAUUGGGUUCUAGCACAAAAACACGUGUGAGUGCAUCAGGGACAAUAUUAUCACUUCCAGGACGAUACGAUAUAGUAUAACUAAACUCUGCUAACUCCAUCCUCCAGCAUUGAAUCUUACUAUUUUUAAUCUUUGUUUUCUUUCGGUUAUCAAAUAUAAAAGCUACAGAACGCUAAUCAGUAAUUAAUUUAAAUUGAUUCCGUAACAGUAAAUGUCGCCAUUUUCGAACAGCUUCAAUAAUAGCCACAGCUUCUUUUUCUACUGAUGGGUAAUUGAUUUCACUUUUGCCUAAUGUUCGAGACAUAAAGGCAACUGGACGACCAUUUUGAUUCAAGGUAACUGAUACGGCUACAUCUGAUGCAUCACAUUCAACAACAAAAGGUAAGCUCUCAUCAAUAGAACUCAAAGUGGCAGCAUGAAGUUCUCUUUUAAGAAAUUGAAAUGCUUAAAGUGCCUCACUAUUGAUAGGAAAAGAUUUAACAUUAAUUAAAGGCCGAACUUUAUUAGCAAACGAAGGUAUCCACUUUGAAUAAUAAGAAAACAUACCCAAAGUUCACCGAAAUGAUAAAAUGUUAGAAGGAGGAGGUAGUAUGUCUAAAGGACAUAAUCGCUCAGAAUCUGGUUUUAUGUUGUUAUGACUAACGCAAUAACCAAGAAUGUUUAUAGAAGAAGCUGAAAUAACCGGUUUUGAUUCAUUUAAAGUUAGACCCAACGUUGUGAAGCGUCUUGAAACCGCAGACAAUUUUUAUCAUGAUGUGCCUGAUCAUAACCACCAAUGGUUAUAUUGUCAAGAUAUGGAAAAGUGUCAUGUAACUUUUCUUCUUCAACAAACUUGUCCAUAGACCUUUGGAACUUAGACACACCAUUAGUAACUCCAAAUGGAAUCCUGCAAAAUUGAAAUAGUUUCCCAUUUGCCUCAAAUGCUGUAUACUUUUUGUCUGAAUUUUUAAUAGGGAUUUGGUGGUAAGCACAAGUCAAAUGUAGAGAAUACUUUGUACUUUGCAAGUCUAUUUAUCAUAUCAUCUAUUCUGGGAAGAGGAUAUGCAUCUAACUCAGUGUAAAGGUUAACUGUUUGAGAGUAAUCAAUACAAAGGAUUAAUAGUCAUAGCAUUGAGAGUUGCUGAGGUUUCUUCUGGUAAUUUUAUAGCGGCAACAAUAUUUUAAUUGGAGGAAAUCGAGGAUGUUUUCUGCAUAUAAGAAUAUGAGUUUCUUUGUGCAACGUCAAAAGAACAAGCUUGGUUAAAUGCUGAUUGCAAAUUCAAUGUUGAAUUUUCAAGAAGUCGUUGACGAAUGUAAUUCGAAUUUAUUCCAGAAAUAAAAGCAUCUCUUAUUUGUUCCUCUCGAUAUUGUUCAGCAGAAACAUCCUUGUAAUUACAGUUUUUACUGAGUUUACGUAGCUCCUGAAGAAAGUUUUCUGAGGAUUCACUCGAUGUUUGAUGUCUUAUAAGUAAUUGAUGCCUUGCAAAAUUUUCAUGAGGGGUUUUUAUAUAUAAGUUUUCUAGGGUUUCAAUUACACUUCCAUAGGAAUCACAUUCUUCAAUGUAAUCAUAAACAUUUGAUGAAACAAAAUUAAUGAUGGAGCGAAAUUUGUCUGGACCAUCCUCUCCACAAUCCUCAAUGAAGUUUUCAAAUGUUCGUUUCUAAUGCUUCCAUUCUUUUGAAGCAGAUGGUGCAUUAUGAUCAAGAUCAAGCCUAAUCGGUUUUAAGAUCUUUGACAUUUCCCAAUAAUUUUAUAUGUAUGUUAAAUAAAUUGUAAUGAACUAAUAAAAAGAUUGAUCUCUUGAUUAAGGCUUUAUUUAACAAUAAUUAUACUAAUCUAAAGAUACAAGAAAAUAGACACAUAUAAAACAAAUAGUUCAAUAACAAAAAAAUAGAAAACACAACAACAAGUCAGGUAAAAUCAGAGAAGGUAAACGAAAAUUGACAGCAUUAACAACCUCCCUUUAAAAAAAGGUAGCCAUUUCCCUUAAUAUAUCAGAAGAAAGUUUUGAAGAACAGUCAAGUUUUAAUAAUGAGUAUAUAAAAAAAGCAAACUUGUUUGAUAACAUGAUGGUAUUGUUAACUAACAAAAUUGCAGAGUCUACAUCAACAUCAAAAAAAGUACAACUUGCGACACUUGCUCCAACAGACUGGUCAAUAAAAAAGGUAUCUGAAACAUUGCAUGUAACAAACUAUAUAGCUCGAACUGCACGUAAGUUAACAUUAGAAAAAGGUAUUUUAACCAUGCCUAAUCCUAAAUUAGGAAAAGCUCUUCCUGAUGUAACAGUUCAACUGGUCAAGACCUUUUACAAAGACAAUGAACAUAGUCGUAUAAUACCUGGUAAAAAGGACUAUGUAAGCAUAAAGAAAAAUGUCCACAUGCAAAAACGUUUGCUCUUAUGUUAUUUAAAGGAAUUGUUUGUUGCCUUUAAAACCAAGAACCCAGAAAUA